rnacentral:rRNA from 1 species
GUAGGUGGCAAGCGUUGUCCGGGAAUUAUCGGGGCGUAAAGCGCGCGCAGGCGGUUCUUUAAGUCUGAUGUGAAAGCCCACGGGCUCAACCGCGGAGGGUCAUUGGAAACUGGAGAACUUGAGUACAGAAGAGGAAAGCGGAAUUCCACGUGUAGCGGUGAAAUGCGUAGAGAUGUGGAGGAACACCAGUGGCGAAGGCGGCUUUCUGGUCUGUAACUGACGCUGAGGCGCGAAAGCGUGGGGAGCAAACAGGAUUAGAUACCCUGGUAGUCCACGCCGUAAACGAUGAGUGCUAAGUGUUAGGGGGUUUCCGCCCCUUAGUGCUGCAGCUAACGCAUUAAGCACUCCGCCUGGGGAGUACGGCCGCAAAGGCUG